rnacentral:sRNA from 1 species
CUGCCAUGGUUAAGUACUCCUAAGUAUUAUGUAUGUCAGAGCUGUUCUAGUAAACAAAAGAAUUAUUACUGAUUUUUGGGUUUUUGUUUUUUUUUUUAGGUGAGCAUACUUGAUUCAGAGGAGGUGUGUGUGGAGCUUCUAAAGGAGUAUGCAUCUCAAGAAUAUGUGAAAGAAGUUCUUCAGAUAUCUAGUGAUGGAAAUAUGAUCACUAUUUAUUAUCCAAAUGGUGGAAGAGGUUUUCCUCUUGCUGAUAGACCACCCUCACCUACUGACAACAUCAGUAGGUACAGCUUUGACAAUUUACCAGAAAAAUACUGGCGAAAAUAUCAAUAUGCUUCCAGGUUUGUACAGCUUGUAAGAUCUAAAUCUCCCAAAAUCACUUAUUUUACAAGAUAUGCUAAAUGCAUUUUGAUGGAGAAUUCUCCUGGUGCUGAUUUUGAGGUUUGGUUUUAUGAUGGUAAGUACCAUUUGGAAAUGGUAAUUUGUUCCUUUAGUUUGUAAUUUAGUAGUUACGUAUAUGUGGGUUUUUAAAAUUCAACAGAGUUUUAAAGAUGUGUAUGUACAUAACUAUACAUAUAAAUUGCACAGCGGAGUAUACAUGUCAAAUCAUAUUAACCAAAAUUUAUCUAGCC